UACUGUCUACUUCACGUCUCCACGACAGUAUACGGUAGCUUCCUUCGAAUUCCGCUGCGAACACAUCACACUCACUCCUUUGUAUACCACACGUGUCUUUAUUCUUUCUUCUACACCCAUACCAAGAUUGUGUGUUUGUGUCUUGUCUUCAGUUAAAAAAAGUUCUCGCUAGCUACUGCAGAAAAAGGAGGAGGAAGAGAUAGUGUCUGUGUGUGAAUAACUGAGGGAUAGCAAGUGGGAGAAUAAGAACAGUGAAGAAUAAAAAGACACGUAAACCAGCACAACACGGAGGACAAACAAAUGAGGAAGAGGUAGUGAGUCUGUGUGUGAAUGAAUAACUGGGGCAUACCAAGUGAAGAAGACGAAGGAGGAGGAGGAGCAAGAAAAAUAAUUAAAGAGUUUGUGUGUGUGGGUAACUGUGACAUAAGAUGUGAACAAGAACUGUGCAUAAGGCAAACCAGUGGAACAUAACAAAACUAAAGACUCAUAAGAAGACGAUGAAGUAGAAGGAGUUUGAGUGUGUGUGGGUAACAGUGACAUAAGACGUGAACAAGAACAGUAAAUGAGGCAAACCAUUGGAACAUUACAAAACUAAAGACUCAUAAGAAGUAGGAGGAGAAAGGAAAAUUAAUUAUUGAGUGUGUGUGGAUAACUGUGGCAUUAAUAAAAUAAUAAGAACAUUAAAAUAUAACAAUAGUGAAAUAAUACAACAAACAAACAAAAGACAAAAAAUAACAAUAAGAAACAGAAAGAAAAAGAAGAAGGUAGUGAGAAUCUGUGUGAAUAACCGUACACAGAAGAAGAAAGAAAACGAAGAAAGAAAGAAAAGAGAAAACAACAGAAAGAAAAACGAAGAAAACAAGAUAAAAAAGAAAAAAAAAAAGAUAAAGGAGAAGAAAGUACAAGAUAAAGAAAGAACAAAAAUAAAACGAAGGAGAAGGAAGGACGGAAGGAAGGACAAAAAGACGAAGGAAAGAAGAAAGGACACAAACCAAUUCUCAACACCCACCACCACCACUAAAAUUUCCGCACCCUCAGUCACUGACCAACAGUUGUGAGACGUACUGCUCAUAGUUGCUGUCCAUUAUUAGCGUGGUACAUAGACUGUGGCCGCUGAGACUUGCAGAAAUGGGGAAGUGGGCCAGAUAUUCUAAGUGGUUCCAGUGUAGUUGGUUGAAAGAACCACAGUUUGAAAAGUGGCUUGUAGAAGUGAAACAUGAUGAUAAAAAAGCUUACUGUAAAGUGUGCAAAGCCGAACUCAGGGCACAUAAAAGUGAUCUGAAAAAACACAGUGAAACUGAGAAGCACAUUCAAAACAUGAAGAAAAUUCCUAGUGCUAAGCAAAUGAGUGUGAAAAGUCUCUUUCAGAAAGUUGACACAAAUAAGAAAUCUGAGAUUAAAUUGUCAGUUUACGUUGCUUGCCACUCUUCCAUUCAGUCAGUUGACCAUUUAAGUGAGUUAUGGAAUGAUCUGCCGUGUACUUCAAGUACUGAAAAGUUGCGGUUGCACAGAACAAAAUGUAGUGCACUUAUCAAAAAAGUAAUUUCACCAGCUUUACUUGCAGAGCAAGUUAGUGAUCUGAAAAAUUCUCCAUUUUCACUUAUAUUGGAUGAGUCUACUGAUAUCGCAUGCGCAAAACAUUUGUGCGUAUGUGUCAGGUACUACAAUGUAAGGCUUAACAAAGUUGUGUCGCAAUUCCUAGGGCUUAUACCAGUCACAAGUGCAACAGCUGAAGCAAUAUAUCAGCAUGUGAAAGACUACUUUAAUGAAAUUGGAGUCAAUUUAAAUCACUGCUUUGCCAUAGGGACUGAUGGAGCUUCCAGCUUGUGUGGACAACACCACUCAUUCUACACACUUUUGAAAAAGGAUAUUCCAGAUUUAGUGUUAGUGAAGUGUGUCUGCCAUUCUCUGCAUCUGGUAUGCAGCCAUGCUUCAGAGAAAAUGCCAUCAAAUAUAGAUUAUAUGCUAAGAGAAACAUACAACUGGUUUCAUAGAUCAGCAAUCAGACGUGAAGCAUACCUUGACAUAUACAAACUGCUUAAUGAUGGUAAUGAGCCCCUACAGUUAGUACCUCUUUCUGGGACUAGAUGGCUAGCCAGAAGCAACAGUGUGAAAAGAGUUCUGGAUCAGUGGGAUGUUUUGAAGACACAUUUUGAAAUAGCUUCUUCAUCUUGUGGUAAAUAUCUAGCAAGGGAACUUCAUUCAAUGUAUGCUGAUCAUUCAAAUGAGUUGUAUUUCACUUUCUUGAAACCUGUUCUAAGUCAGUUUGAAAAGAUCAACCUUCUCUUUCAAAAAGAAGCAGCAGACCUUUGCAGUCUCUUGAAUGAAUUGGAAAAUCUAACAUUUUCAGUGCUCAGAAGAAUAAUUUAUCCAACGAGUGUAAAACUUGAUGUGGAUAUGAAUUUUAAGUCCAUUUUUCUUCCACUUGAAAAAGUAGACUUUGGGUACGAGUUUACUGUGCUUUUGGAAAACAAGAGGAAGAUGAACUUGAUUUCAGAGGAAAACAAGCAUGCCAUACAAGCUAGAUGUCACGCGUUUCUCGUAAAAGCAUCUGAAGAACUUCUUGCUCGUGUCCCACGUAACAUUGCAACCUUGAAACAGAUAAAAAAUCUAUCACCAGCAAUAUGUUUGAGCCACACAAGACCUCCAUUUUCUGAGCUUCCAUUAUCUCUGGCUGAACAAGCAAAACUCCCUGAGAUUGAAAACCAGUGGCGAACAGCCUUACAUACUGAUUGGCAUCAAAUAAUUGAAGGUGACAUACCUCAGGAUGGUUCAGUGUUCUGGUCCAAAUCUGCUACAUUAAAAAAAUGCAGGUGGAGAACUCAUUAUGAAAGACCUGGCAGAAUUUGCUCUGAAAGUGUAUAGCCUUCCUAUUAGUAAUGCCUUAGUAGAGCGCGUAUUUUCAAAAGUAACUGCAGUUAAAACUAAAGUGAGAAAUCGUAUGGGUUUAGGACUCUUAACUUCUAUUCUACGAAUCAAAACCUCCCUGAAAGAAAAAGGCAUGUGCUGCAAUACAUUUGAGCCUCCAGUGUCCAUGCUGCAUUAUGAUUCAUCUAUAUAUAAGGAUGAAAAAAUAGAGGAGGACGAGGAAAACCUGCUACAAUCAUUGCAGCUGAUCUAAGAAAAUCUCUGGCCUCCUGCUUUUGCAGGAGGGUUGGGAACGAGCCCCUCCAGUGGUGUGCUGUUAACUUCACGUCCUGGGUAUCCAUCCCCCUGAUAUGAGGGACGGAGGACGCGAAGACGUUCCACGGUCUGGAGACUCGCCCCCAAAAGGUGGGCCGGUGUUGGCUGGAGCGGGAACGCGGCACUUCCACCGAGUCACCACCGGAUGACACCGUGGAGCUUGCUGAUGUGUGUGGCAGCACAGGACAUCCAGGAGAGGGCGGAAUACUCUAAAUAAGGCCGUAUCUGGCCCUUGUAGAGCAACAGCCUCCCUCUCAUGUCCAGCAAGUUGGCCACCCUCCUCUCUCUUUCUCUCUCUCAUUUUUAUAGUGAUAAUAAUACAAGUUACCUUUUUCAUUUUCUUUAUUUCAUUCAUUUUUUUUUGUAACAAGACUAAAAAAUAUACUCAAUUUGAUAAUAAUAAUAAUAAUAAUAAUAAUAAUAAUAAUUCUGUAAACUAUUACAUAUAUUUUCUAUUAAUUUCUAUAUAUUCUAUUUUCUUAACAGGCACUUCCUCCCACACACAAGGUCACUCUUAUCCAACUCACACAGCCUCCCCCUGACCCCCUCACACCCUUCAACACCCCCUCACACCCCGUCAACACCCCCUGACACCCUCACACCAGGCCGAACCCUUCACUCUGCUGUACGGCCUGUAGAAGUUUGUAUUUCAGCUUCUCUUUGGUGUUGUAUUUUGGCAGGUUGAGUUGGGUGAUGCAGGUGUGUGCGACCGGAAGGAAGCUGUCGUCUGCUGUGCUUUGGAUCAUCAACUUGAGUGCCUGAGAGAGAGAGAGAGAGAGAGUUUAUAAGAGAAAAAGAAAGAGAGGGAGAAAAUAUUGAGGAAUGACUGAGAAGAAAGGAAGGAAGGAAGAGGAGGAAGGAAGGAAGGAAGGAAGGAAGGAAGGAAGGAAGGAAGGAAGGAAGAAAAGAGGACAAGAAGGAAGAGAAAAGGAGGACACUCUCUCUCUCUCUCUCUCUCUCUCUCUCUCUCUCUCUCUCUCUCUCUCUCUCUCUCUCUCUCUCUCUCUCUCUCUCUCUCUCUCUCUCUCUCUCUCUCCCACAGACCCACAGGAUGUCCCCCCACAGGAUGUUGACAAACCCCACAGUCACUCCCCUCAGCCCCUCUCUCUCUCUCUCUGUCUCUCACCUACCUUCAUGCCCAGAAUAGGAACCCUGUCAGUGCCCGUCAGGAACUUCAAAAACAACUUCUUCUGCUCCAGGGAGAGUUUGUGAAAUACUUCCCAGAACGUGCGUAUGACCGGGUGGUCUGGGAAACAUUUGCCCUGGAAACACCGACAGAAAUCAAUAAACAGAAGGAUAUUAGUGUGAA